GAUCCUGGCUCAGGAUGAACGCUGGCGGCGUGCUUAACACAUGCAAGUCGAGCGAAGCACUCUGCUUUGAUUCUUUUGGGAUGAAGAGCAUUGUGACUGAGCGGCGCACGGGUGAGUAACGCGUAUCCAACCUGCCUUACACUCUUGGACAGCCUUCUGAAAGGGAGAUUAAUACAAGAUGUUAUCAUGAGUAAGCAUUUUCGCAUGAUUAAAGGUUUACCGGUG
rnacentral:rRNA from 1 species